UACAGAGGUCUCAAGCGUUGUUCGGAUUCAUUGGGCGUAAAGGGUGCGUAGGUGGCGAUGUAAGUCUGGUGUGAAAUCUCGGGGCUCAACCUCGAAAUUGCAUUGGAUACUGCGUUGCUUGAGGAUUGUAGAGGAGAGUGGAAUUCACGGUGUAGCAGUGAAAUGCGUAGAUAUCGUGAGGAAGACCAGUUGCGAAGGCGACUCUCUGGGCAAUUCCUGACACUGAGGCACGAAGGCCAGGGGAGCAAACGGG
rnacentral:rRNA from 2 species